AUAGCUCAGUCAGUUAGAGCAUGGUGCUGAUAAUACCAAGGUCACAGGUUCGAUCCCUGUU
rnacentral:tRNA from 1 species